GUUUGGUUUAGAGUUGGCGUUUAUAGGAAUUUCUGGUGGUGAUCGAGUCUGUAGUUGUUGAAGCUGUUCGGUCUGAUUAAGAGUCGUCCUUGUCUUUGCAAUAAUCACCAUGUGGGUGUGAGCAGAAGGUGCAUAAGUUUCUCUGGAGCAGGCGCUGGCAUAAGAUGAUUGUCUCCGCUAAGAGUAAAACUGUUCGGUCUUGACUUUGUUUUGG
rnacentral:sRNA from 1 species